UUUUUUUUCUUUUUUCUUUUUUUCUUUUUUUUUUUUUUUUUUGGUCUUUUUAGGGCUGCACCUGUGGCACAAGGAGGUUCCCAGGCUAGGGGUCAAAUCAGAGCUACAGCUGCCAGCCUACAACAGCCCCAGAAACGCCGGAUCCGAGUCGCAUCUGUGACCUACACCACAGCUCAUGGCAACACUGCAUCCUUAACCCACUGGGCAAGGCCAGGGAUUGAACCCACAUCCUCAUGGAUACUAGUUGGGUUCAUUACCACUGAGCCACAGCGGGAACUCCAUUUUUUAUUUUUUCAUUUUUUUUGUGGCUGCCAUAAAUUCCUGGUGUCCUUUGGCUUUAGAGACACCAGUCUUUGCCUCUAGUCACACGGUGUUCUCUCAUGUGUCUUCAUGGCCUGUGGUCAUCCAGGAUGACCGCCUCUUGACUUGGUUAUAACUACAAAGACCCUGGUCCUGAAUGAGGUCCCAUUCAUAGGCACUAAGAGUUCAGAAUAGAUUCUGUCUCUUGGGGGAUACGAUUCUACCCACAACAAGUACGCUUUAUUCUAGGUAAUGAAAGCACCUCCUGGUUUGGCCAACCUUAGGCAGCUGUUAGGUGUGUACUCAUUCACCACUUUUCCAAAAUGAAUUUACCAAAAAGCACCAAAAAUUUCUUAGGCAUGGGCUGGGCACAUGGGCGGGAAAUAGAGCCAGUGAUUUUCCAGACAUCAACUUGCUUUAUUCUAGCACUGUUUUUGUUUGUUUAUGUGAGGCAGGAAGCCACUGUCCCCAUCCAGGGCUGGACACCGGGCAGGCUAUCACCUUGAGUACAGGUAUGUUUCACUGGUUGAUGUUUGGUGCCAGGAGGAAGCAUCUCUCUCCCCUUUCCCGUCUCUGGAGGCUGGUGGGGGCUCGGAGCUCAGGCCUGGAGGCUGGCUGGCCCAUCUGCUGCUUCCUGUCUUUCUGUGCUCUGCUGCUUUGUUCUGCUGUGGUGCUGGAGGCUCCAUGGGGCUGAAGUCACCUGUCCUCUCAUUGGAGAGAGCAAUCAUCUCUGUGUCUGUCACUUGGAGGGGGUGGUUGGGAUUGCCCUUUGGCCCUGGUUCAUUUUCUCAGGGGAAGCAUAUGCUGGUUUGAAUCCACUCCUUCAGCGAUAUGAAUGGAACAUUGCCCCUGGCCAUUUCCCUUGCUGGAUCUUGUGUACUGGUUGCAUUGAAACCUCUAGAGGGAGCUCCAGGCCUGUUUCCAUCUUCCACGACUCCUGCCCAGGGAAAAGACUCAUUGAUGGAUUAAGGAUUGAAUGAUAAACACAAAAACCACUGUGCUAGGUGGGGAAUAUUUAGUGGGAGGAAAAAAGGAAGGGUUAGUUUUUGUUGAAGGGGGAUGUGCUAGUGGGUCUCUCUGUCUAUGAGUCUAGUGGGGACAAGAUAGGGCCUGGGGGUCUUUUCUGCUUGGCAGACACUUUAGUCCCUGGAAGCCUAUGGGCAGGGUGCUGUCUAUGGCAAAAGGGAUGUGGAGAAGACAGCUGAGGCCGGUUCUCUUCUAGGUUGAUGGUGAUGACAUGGGGGGAUUUUCUGCUCUGUUCUUCUUCCUCCACUGGAGUAGGAAGACCUGAGCACCAAUGCUCUUGAGCUGCAGUGAUGAAAAGGGGCUACUGAAUCUCAAAAGUAGGGCCAGUGUAGGAGAAAGGUGAGGCUAAAACCUGAAUUAAUGAGUAGCAUUAAUGAGAAUUCAUUGGGCCAGCCUGUCUCUGCAUCACAAAUCCCUCUAGAAUUUGUGAGAUGUGGAUGGGAUUCAGGGGCCUGACCACAUCUCACUCCUUUUAGGAUAGAAAACAGAGGCACGGGACAAUGGGAAAGGGGGCACAUUAUUUUGCUAAAAAGACUACCUCAACAGUGGGGUGAGAUUAAAUCACUUAGCCUUCUAGAAAUCUAGUUUCUUCAACUAUAAAAUAAGGAUAAUAUCUGCUUAAAGGGCUGUUAUAAAAUUUAUAAGUAAAAAAUAACUAAUAUAACCAAUAUAAAAACCAUUAGCAUAGUAUUUAGCACACAGUAAGUGUUCACCAAUUGGUAGCUAUUAUGACAGAAGGGCUUCUGGCUGCUUAAGGAUAGUGGUUGCCAUUAAUAAGCACCAAGGAACAGGCAGUGCUACAUACUUUGUGUUAUCUCAUUCAAACACAUCAGCAACUUCACUCAGUCAGUUAUUAUAACCCUCUUUCUCCAAAUGAUAAAACCAAGGCUUAGCAAGGCUACUAGUAACUGUUAGAGCUGGAUUUGAAUGCAGGUUGGUCUGACUACACCAUACCAAUCUUUUAACUGUCUCUCUAAAGGUGAUCUUGAGUCAAUCAAUGAUAAAUUCUAGGCCUUUGUGACUCUGCUCCAUUGAUGUGUCAGUGCAUCAGAAGUGCUGUAUGAGCAGACCUGGAUAGGGCAGCACCAGCCUCAGCUGCUCCUGGAGUUUCGUGCUUCUGAAGGAGGCACUAGCUGUGAAAUAACCCUCUCCUCCUUGAAUCUGAGGAGGCUCAUGUUUCUGAGUGCCCCUUUUUAAUCAAGGAGAUGAUCCAUCUCCUGUUGUCACUUGAUCUUUCUUGAAACAACAGCCGCAAAUCUCCAGGCAGCAGCGAGUUGACGCAGACAAAAUGAAAACGGAGGAAGUCGCAUCUUUCUCUCAUUAAUAGGAGAAGAGAAAACACACAGCUUCUGCCUUGAGUGUUUUGGGGACAAUGUUAUUUUUAGAAAAGAACAUUGUGUGAUUUUAGUUUGAUUUCUGAAGAGGCUUUCUUUUAACAUUUUUUUCACUAAGUUGCUGCAUCAAGAAGGAAUAGAUUGAGCAAUAACAAUCCAUUAGCAAAAGUAUAUCGAGCUCUUCUAUGUGCAAGGCAUGGAGGUAGAGACAAAGAGACCAAGGCUUUGCCCUGCUCUUUAGAUGCUGAGAAUCUACUAUAAAAGAUCAUAUGGCUAUUCUUGUCCAAAGCUCAGAAAAUAGAGCAAUCUGAUCUAUUGUAUUUCAUGGGAGACAGAAUAACUGGAGGUAACAACUGUAGAGCCCUGAAGAAUGCACAGAAGCUUUCACUGUCCAUUCUUUCUUUGUUCAGUGAAUAUGUAUUGAACAUCUUCUUUAUAUGUGGCAGGCCUUGGGAAAAGAAAGCUGAAUCAGACCUUGUCACUACCCUUGAAAAGUUUGUAGUACAGUGCAGACAAGAAAUGUCAUGAAAUAAGUAAUAGAUAGUUAUGUGAAUAACAUGAGGUCAUGGUUGGAAAGGGAGUCAAACCUACCCAAUGGAGAGAGAGACCUGAAAGGCUUCACAGAAGAAAGAAUACUCAAGAUGGGUGUUGGAGGAUGGGUGUUGGUGUUUGAUUGACCAGAAGGAAAGUGAGGAAAUUGGCCAGGCAAAAGAAGAAAUGGAUGCAAAGAUGUGUGAGCUAGUUCUGCAUGGGUGAAGCUCUGUUUAUAACUGGGAAUGGUGAGAGCUAUGGGGAGCACUAAGAGAUGAGGCUUGAGGGGCAGCUGGGCAUGCCCACAUCUGGAGGCAAUGAAGUGACCUUUCAAGGAUUUGAUGAAACAGGAUGACUCAGUCAACUAUUUUGGUUUAGAAACAAGGGUCACUUAGCUUAGUUGGGGCAGAGUUUUAAACAAGCCCAUGUAAUAAGAACUAUUAUGAACUGAAUCUUUGCAUCCUCUCCCAAAUUAAUAUGUUGAAAUCCUAACUCCUAGUUAGGAUUAGGAAGUGGGGCCUUCGGGAGGUAAUUAGGUCAUGUGGGUGGAGCUCUCAUGAAUGGGAUUAGUGUCCUUUUGAAAGAGAUCCCAGAGAACUCUCUUUCUCCCUCUGCCCCAUGAAGACACAAGAGAAGACAUCAUCUAUGAACCAGGAAGAGGACCCUCCCCAGACACCGAAUCUGCCUGCACCUUGACCUUGGACUUUCCAAUCCCUAGGUCUAUAAGAAGUAAAUAUUUUUUUUAAGUCAUCCAGUUUAUGCCAUUUUUGCUAUAGCAGCCUAGUUUGACUAAGACAAGUACCAUGAUGGAAAAAUUGGAUUCUUACAGGCAUUUAAAGGAAAACUGCCUUAUCUAACUAAUCUGAAGUCUUCUUGGAAGAAGUGACAUUGGUGAAAUUAACAUAAUGAAGGUGGGGGUGCAUUAGAAGAAGACAGUUCUCCAAGAAAGAGGCAGAUAAGUUUGGGGCACGGAAAACUGCUCUGCGUGGCUGGGAGAUAGGGUGGGAUGUGUAUAGAGUGAGGCAAGGAUGAGCGAACCUGUGCAGCAGGCCCCUUUGCAAAUUGAAAGGCUGUAAGCAAGGUGUGUCUUGGUCAGAUUGCCUUUUGGGAAGACCAUUCUUCCUUUUGGAUAGGGAUGCAAAUGUGGAGGAAGAGGAAACUGUUAAGGCAGUGUUUGUGUUGGUCAAGGGAAGAGAUGAUGGCGGCCUACACCCAGGCAGUUGCAGUAGGAAUAGAGGGAAGCUCACUACAUAAGAAAUUACUUAGGAGGCGAAAGGAUCAGAUCUAGUGGUUGUUUGGGUAGCCUGAGAUGCUGGGGGGAGGCAGAAGGCCAGCAAUGCAGAAGGAGGAUUUGUGGAAGCCUGGGGGAAUGGCAGGGACAUUUACAGAGAUAUAAGGCAGAGUAGGAAGAGAUGCUUGGGGUAAAGACUGCAUUAGGGAAGACACAUAGGGAUUCAGCAUGUGCGGCCUGGGGUGUGUGGGGAGUAUUGGGUAAGAGGGAGUAGAUGAGGCAGGAGGAAGUGUUAAAUCAAUGCAGCCAACAUCGACUGAGCUGCUACUGUGCCUUAAGCUCCAGGAUAUCUUCUGGGAACAGACCCCAAUCAUAGAAUAUUCUCAGGGAAUUCUACAGUCUAGUGAGAGAUGAAAGUGGGCACACAGCUAACUUCAAUAUAAUGUGUUAAUGUGUUGAUAGACCUAUAUAUAAAGUUAGACAAAUUUUGAACAGCACAUUUUUUUUUUUUUUUUGCCAGGAUGGUGCUGUUGCUGUAGACAUUUAUUGAAUGAGUCCAAUAAGAGCUGUUCCUUCAAGGAGACAGUGUUUCAUUGCAGAAACUCAAUAG
rnacentral:lncRNA from 1 species